CGAGUCCGAUUGGUCGGGCGCACCAAAACAAUGGGCAUGACAUCACCUGCGGGGACCGAGACUGAGUUUGCGGCGCGAGGUUUAGGGGAGCAUGAGCUGCGGAACAACAGAGCCCCCUCGCCCCACGCCUACGUCUCCCUGAUUGUCCUGCUGAGAGUGGGCUGCCAGCUACCCGCCAAAUAACUAUGGGGACACCCACACUGGAGAGAAAAGGUCUGAUGGCUAGCUGAGCCAGUGCAGCAAGUCUUGCACAGAGACAAAGCAAAAGGGGGAUCACUGACGCGCGAACCCGAGCACCUUCUGUGCCAGACUGCGGCGGGCGGAGAGGGGCCUGGCGCGCGCUGAUGCCACCGUCUGUCAUCGCUGGCUGGGACACUACCAAUAAUGAGAAC